GCUAUUUAUUUUGUUGUAUAUUCCCUGCCCCCACACUCUUAGAGUGCUAGGGAGAUGCCCUGGCCCUGCCGCAAUGAUUUUUCUUUUUUUUAUCCCGGGUGGAGAAUAAUGAAAUCCUCCAUCCGGAUAGCCAGUAAUGUGUGAGCUGUGUCGGCCGCAGGGCGUGCCCUGUGCGGCCGCACAGCUCGCACACCCGUAAGGCCGGCCCUGCCUGUAUGUUGUAAAACUAUCCCUCCCAUGAUGCCUUGCAAGCCUUUAGAAUGACAGGUCAUGUGAUCUGUAGUUCUACAAUAUCUGAGGAUCUACCUUUUGG